AACGAACGCUGGCGGCAUGCCUAACACAUGCAAGUCGAACGGGAUCCUAGCUUGCUAGGUGAGAGUGGCGGACGGGUGAGUAACACGUGGGAAUCUGCCUUUUGGUUCGGGAUAACCGCGGGAAACUGCGGCUAAUACCGAAUGCCCUCGAGAGAGGAAAGAUUUAUCGCCAGAAGAGGAGCCCGCGUCCGAUUAGGUAGUUGGUGGGGUAAAGGCCUACCAAGCCGACGAUCGGUAGCUGGUCUGAGAGGAUGAUCAGCCACACUGGGACUGAGAUACGGCCCAGACUCCUACGGGAGGCAGCAGUGGGGAAUAUUGGACAAUGGGGGCAACCCUGAUCCAGCAAUGCCGCGUGAGUGAUGAAGGCCUUAGGGUUGUAAGCUCUUUUGCCAGGGGAGAUGAUGACUGUACCUGGAGAAUAAGCCCCGGCUAACUUCGUGCCAGCAGCCGCGGUAAU
rnacentral:rRNA from 1 species